UUUUUAGUAUAAGUAUGUCCCAUGAAAAAUUUGGGAAUAAUUAUACUAGAA
rnacentral:pre_miRNA from 1 species